AUGUGGGCGUGGGGCCUCGCCGAGCGCGCCGUCGCCGGUCUCCUCGGCCCCGCCGGCGCGAAUGGCGGUCGCUGGAACACCGCCGUCGCCGUCGGGGUCACGGCCGCGGCCGGCAUCGCGCUAGUCGCCAUCGUCAUCUCCUCCCGCAGGGGCGGGAUCAAAUCGCCGUGGCGGCGGCGGAGGAAGCCCGCGCUUGGGCCCAAGGAAUGGCGCAGCUUGUUCACGCCGGAGGGGAAGUUUUACGAUGGGGGCGUGAAGCUACUGAAGAGAGUUCGGAACGGAGGGGUUGAACCGAGCAUCAGAGCAGAGGUCUGGCCGUUCCUUCUGGGAGUUUAUAGCCUGAAUAGUUCAGAAGCUGAAAGGGAAGCAAUUAAGGCCCAUAACAGGAAGGGAUAUCUGCUCUUGAGGAAACAUUGCCUGCGAAAAAACAAUAAAGAAAGCGUGGAUGAUCAUAUCACGAGUGAGGAAGAAAAUCCUUGUGUCAUUUCAGAGCAAGAAAUGCAGGAUAAGACAGGUAAAGCAAUUCCAGAGAAUCAGGCGGAUGAAAGCCUCUGUUCAUCUAGUUCACGUGAUGAAGAUGAGAGUGAGAAAAGUGAUGUGACUGAUGUGGAAGCAUCCCGUGAUGAUGUCGCCUCUGUGGACCAGUCUUCAGUUGAGGAUGAAGAAGAAAGUAUGCCCCUGCCCAAAUAUUCAAACACAGGAGGAAAUAUAGAAACUGAAACUAAGCUAUCUAAGGAUGCCCGUCCUGUGAAGUCUGCACGGACAGUUGAGGAUUUUGAGACAUGGCAGCGGAUAAUUCGUUUGGAUGCAGUUCGUGCGAAUAAUGAAUGGGUUUCCUACUCUCCAUCGCAAGCUGCGGUUACCAGGGAGAAGGCAAUUGAAUCUGCUUCAGCUGUUUGUCUCAAAGACUAUGAGCACUUGGAAGCACACAGGAUCCAUCAUGCGUCACGUCUUGUUGCAAUACUUGAGGCGUACGCAACCUAUGACCCAGAAAUCGGUUAUUGCCAGGGCAUGAGUGACCUCCUUGCACCUCUCCUUGCUGUGCUGGAGGAAGACGAUGAAGCCUUCUGGUGCUUUGCCGGUUUCAUGAGGAAAGCCCGCCACAACUUCAGACUCGACGAAGUGGGUAUUCGCAGGCAACUCAACAUGGUCUCCAAGAUAAUAAAAACCAAGGACUUCCAUCUUUACAGGCACUUGGAGAUGCUUGAAGCUGCAGACUGCUUCUUCGUCUAUAGAAUGGUGGUUGUGAUGUUCCGGAGGGAGCUCACCUUCGAGCAGACCCUCAGCCUGUGGGAGGCGAUGUGGGCAGAUCAGGCAGCAAGGCGGGCUGGGAUCACAACAUCAUCCUGGAGAAAACUUCAGCUUGGAGCCCCUCCAACUGAUGACCUGCUGCUGUAUGCAAUUGCAGCCAGUGUACUGGAGAAGAGGAAAUUGAUAAUAGAGAGCUAUAGCAGCAUGGAUGAGAUCAUUAGGGACUGUAACAGCAUGGCCGGGCAGCUGGACAUUUGGAAGCUCCUGGACGACGCCCAUGAUUUAGUGGUGACCGUACAAGACAGGAUCGAGUAG
rnacentral:rRNA from 1 species